rnacentral:piRNA from 1 species
UGAGUGGUUUGCUAUGAGUGA